GAGUUAAAUGUUCUUCGUGAACAUAGCGAACUGCUCAGUAACACGUGGAUAACCUACCCUUAGGACCGGAAUAACCCCGGGAAACUGGGGAUAAUACCGGAUAAGCCAUAGACGCUGGAAUGCCCUAUGGUUCAAAGCUCCGGCGCCUAAGGAUGGAUCUGCGGUCUAUCAGGUUGUAGUGGGUGUAACGUACCUACUAGCCGACGACGGAUACGGGUUGUGAGAGCAAGAGCCCGGAGAUGGAUUCUGAGACACGAAUCCAGGCCCUACGGGGUGCAGCAGGCGCGAACACUUUACAAUGCGGGAAACCGCGAUAAGGGAACCCCGAGUGCCAGCAUCAAAUGUUGGCUGUCCAGAUGAUUAAAAAUCAUUUGUUAGCAAGGGCCGGGCAAGACCGGUGCCAGCCGCCGCGGUAACACCGGCGGCCCGAGUGGUAGCCGUUUUUAUUGGGUCUAAAGGGUCCGUAGCCGGGCUGAUAAGUCCUUUGGGAAAUCUGGCAGCUUAACUGUCAGGCUUCUAAGGGAUACUGUCAGGCUUGGGACCGGAAGAGGUAAGGGGUACUCCAGGGGUAGGAGUGAAAUCUUGUAAUCCCUGGGGGACCAUCUGUGGCGAAGGCUCCUUACCAGAACGGGUCCCACGGUGAGGGACGAAAGCUAGGGGAGCAAACCGGAUUAGAUACCCGGGUAGUCC
rnacentral:rRNA from 1 species